AUUGAACGCUGGCGGCAGGCCUAACACAUGCAAGUCGAACGGUAGCACAGAGAGCUUGCUCUCGGGUGACGAGUGGCGGACGGGUGAGUAAUGUCUGGGAAACUGCCCGAUGGAGGGGGAUAACUACUGGAAACGGUAGCUAAUACCGCAUAACGUCGCAAGACCAAAGUGGGGGACCUUCGGGCCUCACACCAUCGGAUGUGCCCAGAUGGGAUUAGCUAGUAGGUGGGGUAAUGGCUCACCUAGGCGACGAUACCUAGCUGGUCUGAGAGGAUGACCAGCCACACUGGAACGGAGACACGGUCCAGACGCCGACGGGAGGCAGCAGAGGGGAAUAUUGCACAAUGGGCGCAAGCCUGAUGCAGCCAUGCCGCGUGUAUGAAGAAGGCCUUCGGGUUGUAAAGUACUUUCAGCGGGGAGGAAGGCGGUGAAGUUAAUAACUUCACCGAUUGACGUUACCCGCAGAAGAAGCACCGGCUAACUCCGUGCCAGCAGUCGCAGUAA
rnacentral:rRNA from 1 species